GCUGGGCAUGGUGGCUCAUGCCUGUAAUCCCAGCACUUUGGGAGGCCGAGGCGGGCGGAUCACCUGAGGUCAGGAGUUUGAGACCAGCCUGGCCAACAUGGGGAAACCCCGCCUCUA
rnacentral:SRP_RNA from 1 species